GAUGAACGCUGGCGGCGUGCCUAAUACAUGCAAGUCGAGCGAACAGACGAGGAGCUUGCUCCUCUGACGUUAGCGGCGGACGGGUGAGUAACACGUGGAUAACCUACCUAUAAGACUGGGAUAACUUCGGGAAACCGGAGCUAAUACCGGAUAAUAUAUUGAACCGCAUGGUUCAAUAGUGAAAGACGGUUUUGCUGUCACUUAUAGAUGGAUCCGCGCCGCAUUAGCUAGUUGGUAAGGUAACGGCUUACCAAGGCAACGAUGCGUAGCCGACCUGAGAGGGUGAUCGGCCACACUGGAACUGAGACACGGUCCAGACUCCUACGGGAGGCAGCAGUAGGGAAUCUUCCGCAAUGGGCGAAAGCCUGACAGAGCAACGCCGCGUGAGUAAUGAAGGUCUUCGGAUCGUAAAACUCUGUUAUGAGGGAAGAACAAAUGUGUAAGUAACUAUGCACGUCUUGACGGUACCUAAUCAGAAAGCCACGGCUAACUACGUG
rnacentral:rRNA from 1 species